rnacentral:misc_RNA from 1 species
UGCGCAUAUUAUUGGACCCAAUUCAAGACUUAGGUACAACUUCACCUUCUGGACCAGCGUCUAAAGCACUCCUCAUGGAGAUUGUUGUCUCAUUCUGUAUGAUGUUUGUCACAUCUGCGGUUGCUACCGACACAAAAGCUAUAGGAGAGCUUGGAGGCAUAGCAGUGGGGUCAGCUGUAUGUAUCACAUCCAUCUUUGCUGGGCCAAUAUCGGGUGGGUCGAUGAACCCAGCAAGGUCAAUUGGACCAGCGAUUGCAAGUUCACAUUACGAAGGGAUUUGGGUGUACUUGGUCGGCCCAGUUACUGGUACAUUGCUUGGGGCAUUUUCAUAUAACUUCGUACGAGCCACUGAAAAACAUACCCAUCCACUCUCUUUACAUUGACAUUCAAUCAAUCUGGG